GGUUCUGGAGCGAGGGCACCAGCAUCUACCUUCUGGGGUGCUCCUUGUUAGCUGUGUGGCUGGGAUCACAUAGGCUCCCUACUCCCUCUGUGAGUGAGGACUCCCAUCUCUAAAACGGAGCAAAAUAGUACCUGCAUCAUCAUGUCAAUGUGAAGAUUUCAUGAAAGAAAUUCAGGAAACUUUUAAAGGGGCACCUGGGUGACUCAGUCAGUUAAGCGUCUGCCUUUGGCUCAGGUCAUGAUCUCGGGGUUCUGGGAUCGAGUCAACGUGUCAGGCUCCCUGCUCAGUGAGGAGCCUGCUUCUUCCUCUCCCUCUGCCCCUCUCUCCCGCUCAUUCUCUCUCUCUCUCUCUCUCUCUCUCUCUCUCAAAUAAAUAAAAUCUUUUUUAAAAAGUAGCUGGCAUUUGGCAACUAUACAAUGAAAUUAGCUGUCAUUAUUAUUGUUUUUAUUACCAUUAUUAACACAAGACGUGUCUCUGUUUGCUUACUGAUGCUCUCCCUGAAGACUGACUUGCUCCAGAUCUUUGCUAGAUCCCAGAGGUGGAGAGACCUUCCUGCCCUGGAGCUGCCCACAGUCUACUCCAGGAACAAUGGAAGUAGAGAAGAUUCUGUUUUGAUCCAAGUAACUCAAGACCAUGUGACAGCACAGAUUUGGUUCCACACCACAAAGAGUGUUAAACAUAUAUCAACAUGGUACAACAGGAAAAGUAAAUCAACAAUAAAGGGGAGAAACCAGGAAUAAGAAGAGAAAAGGCAGGGGAAAGACGAGUCCAUAGAACUUUAUUCCAUAUGAUCUUGGACCAGAGGUGAGUGAUUUUUGCUCUGAACUUUCUAGUGACCAAGACAAAGAGAGAAACCAGGUCAUUUGCAAAAUUAGUGGUGUCCCUAAGAUGAAAACAGGCUGUUGUUCACAAGUGAUGCAUUUGUUCUAAAAUUCUUAGCUUCUACCAAAAAAUGUCCCUAGCUGCUAUUAACUGUUAGCACUACAUGACUGUUGCCAUCAUCAUCAUCAUCAUCAUCAUCAUCAACUACUAAUAUGGUGGUUUGUUUGUUUGUUUUAAUUUUCUACAUUUUAUUUUCUCAUUUAUAGUUGGAAUUUUCACAGAACAGAUAUGAGUACUGCUCACUUGUUAAACAAAAAAGUACUGAUUUGGAGAUAUUAAAUGAUAUCACCCUCUUUACCCAAAUAAAAAGUGGAAUAGUUGAGAUCCA
rnacentral:lncRNA from 1 species